rnacentral:tRNA from 2 species
GCGGCUGUGGCGGAAUUGGCAGACGCGCUAGAUUCAGGUUCUAGUGGGUUCACCCCCGUGGAGGUUCGACUCCUCUCAGCCGCA